rnacentral:rRNA from 1 species
UACAGAGGGGGCAAGCGUUAUUCGGAAUUAUUGGGCGUAAAGGGCGCGUAGGCGGCUUUGGCAAGUGGAUGGUGAAAUCCCUCGGCUUAACCGAGGAACUGCCGUCCAAACUGCUUCGGCUUGAGACCGGGAGAGGUGAGUGGAAUUCCCAGUGUAGCGGUGAAAAUGCGUAGAUAUUGGGAGGAACACCAGUGGCGAAGGCGGCUCACUGGACCGGUACUGACGCUGAUGCGCGAAAGCGUGGGGAGCAAACGGG